AGGGUUCGAUUCUGGCUCAGGAUGAACGCUAGCGGCAGGCUUAACACAUGCAAGUCGAGGGGCAGCGGGAUGUAGCAAUACAUUGCCGGCGACCGGCGGAUGGGUGCGUAACGCGUAUGCAACCUACCUUAUACAGGGGAAUAACCUUUCGAAAGGGAGACUAACACCCCAUAGUAUUGAUUUAAGGCAUCUUAGAUUAAUUAAAUAUUUAUAGGUAUAAGAUGGGCAUGCGUAUGAUUAGCUAGUUGGUAAGGUAACGGCUUACCAAGGCGACGAUCAUUAGGGGUUCUGAGAGGAAGGUCCCCCACACUGGUACUGAGACACGGACCAGACUCCUACGGGAGGCAGCAGUGAGGAAUAUUGGUCAAUGGGCGCAAGCCUGAACCAGCCAUGCCGCGUGCAGGAAAGACGGCCUUAUGGGUUGUAAACUGCUUUUACAUAAGACUAACCGUAUAUUUGCGAAUAUACCUGAAUGUAUUAUGAGAAUAAGGAUCGGCUAACUCCGUGCCAGCAGCCGC
rnacentral:rRNA from 1 species